GCGGCCGUAACUAUAACGGUCCUAAGGUAGCGAAAUUCCUUGUCGGGUAAGUUCCGACCUGCACGAAUGGCGUAAUGAUGGCCAGGCUGUCUCCACCCGAGACUCAGUGAAAUUGAACUCGCUGUGAAGAUGCAGUGUACCCGCGGCAAGACGGAAAGACCCCGUGAACCUUUACUAUAGCUUGACACUGAACAUUGAGCCUUGAUGUGUAGGAUAGGUGGGAGGCUUUGAAGUGUGGACGCCAGUCUGCAUGGAGCCGACCUUGAAAUACCACCCUUUAAUGUUUGAUGUUCUAACGUGGACCCGUUACCCGGGUUGCGGACAGUGUCUGGUGGGUAGUUUGACUGGGGCGGUCUCCUCCUAAAGAGUAACGGAGGAGCACGAAGGUUGGCUAAUCCUGGUCGGACAUCAGGAGGUUAGUGCAAUGGCAUAAGCCAGCUUGACUGCGAGCGUGACGGCGCGAGCAGGUGCGAAAGCAGGUCAUAGUGAUCCGGUGGUUCUGAAUGGAAGGGCCAUCGCUCAACGGAUAAAAGGUACUCCGGGGAUAACAGGCUGAUACCGCCCAAGAGUUCAUAUCGACGGCGGUGUUUGGCACCUCGAUGUCGGCUCAUCACAUCCUGGGGCUGAAGUAGGUCCCAAGGGUAUGGCUGUUCGCCAUUUAAAGUGGUACGCGAGCUGGGUUUAGAACGUCGUGAGACAGUUCGGUCCCUAUCUGCCGUGGGCGCUGGAGAACUGAGGGGGGCUGCUCCUAGUACGAGAGGACCGGAGUGGACGCAUCACUGGUGUUCGGGUUGUCAUGCCAAUGGCACUGCCCGGUAGCUAAAUGCGGAAGAGAUAAGUGCUGAAAGCAUCUAAGCACGAAACUUGCCCCGA
rnacentral:rRNA from 1 species